GCGAGCGUGGCGGAACUGGCAGACGCGCCGGACUCAAAAUCCGGUGGUGCUAUAAACACCGUGUGGGUUCGACCCCCUCCGCUCGCA
rnacentral:tRNA from 1 species